rnacentral:lncRNA from 10 species
ACAUGUAGUUCUUUGGUUGCUCUUUGCCACUGGGAGCAGCUACAAGAUGAUGGAACUUCCAACAGCCUGAGGUUCUGAGAGACCACGUGCAACAAAGCCUCUUGCAAAUUCAUGUGGGACAUGGAAACGUGAAAGAAGAAAAGCUUUGUUGUGGCCAUCUUCUGAACUCCAUGCGAGAAAACUCCAUUACUCCCAGAUACUGUUGGAUCUUCCACCAGGAGCUAUGGAAAACACAAAACUAUCAGUCAUUGUCAAAUACUCCAUAAAUGGAGACAGAGAAGGGGUUCAGUUCUCUGUGUAACAAGGACAGAGGAGAAAGGUCCAUACCAAGUAAUAUAGGCAGUUGCAACAUCCAUGAAGAGUUGUUAAUUGGAGCACAAGGCAUCUGCAGUGUCAAAUCUACAGAGACAAGUGCACCUGGAGACAAAUGACCAGACUACCAUAAAACAGAAGCUUAAUUAUGUUCACUUACAUUUUCAAAUUAUUCCCAACAAAUUACCCUGGUUUUCCAGGCAGAAGAAGCAGAGU